rnacentral:rRNA from 1 species
UACGGGGGGAGCAAGCGUUGUCCGGAUUCACUGGGCGUAAAGCGCGUGUAGGCGGCGCGUCAAGUCGGGUGUGAAAGCCCGGGGCUCAACCCCGGGAUGCCGCUCGAAACUGGCGUGCUUGAGGACGGAAGAGGGGAGUGGAAUUCCUGGUGUAGCGGUGAAAUGCGUAGAUAUCAGGAGGAACACCGGUGGCGAAGGCGGCUACCUGGACAGAAACUGACGCUGAGGCGCGAAAGCUAGGGGAGCAAACAGG